ensembl:misc_RNA Metazoa_SRP Metazoan signal recognition particle RNA
GCCACGCGGUGGAACGUGCUUGUAGUCCCAGCUACUUGGGAGGCUGAAGUGGGAGGAUUGCUUGAGCCCAGAAGUUCUGGUCUGUAGUGCACUAUGUCGAUCAGGUGAACGCACUAAGUUUGGCAUCAAUAUGGUGACCUCCCGGGAGCUGGGACCACCAGGUUGCCUAAGGAGGGGUGAACCGGCCCAGGUCAGAAACAGAGCAGGUCAAAACUCCUGUGCUCAGUAAUGGGAUCGCGCCUGUGAAUAGCCACUGCACUCCAGCCUGGGCAACAUAGCGAGACCCUAUCUCUA